UGGCGACCGGCGCACGGGUGAGUAACACGUAUCCAACCUGCCGAUGACUCGGGGAUAGCCUUUCGAAAGAAAGAUUAAUACCCGAUGGCAUCAUGAGUCCGCAUGUUCACAUGAUUAAAGGUAUUCCGGUAGACGAUGGGGAUGCGUUCCAUUAGAUAGUAGGCGGGGUAACGGCCCACCUAGUCUUCGAUGGAUAGGGGUUCUGAGAGGAAGGUCCCCCACAUUGGAACUGAGACACGGUCCAAACUCCUACGGGAGGCAGCAU
rnacentral:rRNA from 1 species